GACGAACGCUGGCGGCGUGCUUAACACAUGCAAGUCGAACGAAGAGCGAUGGAAGCUUGCUUCUAUCAAUCUUAGUGGCGAACGGGUGAGUAACGCGUAAUCAACCUGCCCUUCAGAGGGGGACAACAGUUGGAAACGACUGCUAAUACCGCAUACGAUCUAAUCUCGGCAUCGAGGAUAGAUGAAAGGUGGCCUCUACAUGUAAGCUAUCACUGAAGGAGGGGAUUGCGUCUGAUUAGCUAGUUGGAGGGGUAACGGCCCACCAAGGCGAUGAUCAGUAGCCGGUCUGAGAGGAUGAACGGCCACAUUGGGACUGAGACACGGCCCAGACUCCUACGGGAGGCAGCAGUGGGGAAUCUUCCGCAAUGGACGAAAGUCUGACGGAGCAACGCCGUGUGAGUGAUGACGGCCUUCGGGUUGUAAAGCUCUGUUAAUCGGGACGAAAGGCCUUCUUGCGAACAGUUAGAAGGAUUGACGGUACCGGAAUAGAAAGCCACGGCUAACUACGUG
rnacentral:rRNA from 1 species